GAUGCGACAAACACACGCACCACUGCUACGAACACAGCUACACUUACACUACCACCAUCGUUUGCCUCUGUGUGUUGAAGAAAGAUGAAACUAGGGUUUCAUUUCGGAUUUGAGCAGAGAGCUAGAGUUGAUUUGGGUAUAGGAUUCUAUGGUUUGAUUCGUUUUCCAUUUGGGUUUGAUUUGGAUGUCCAUCAUCUUCAGCUGCUCCAAGCCUCCAACAUCAGGUAUAAGGUUCUUUAAAAUUUUCAGUGAAAUUUUUGUGUUUAAAUGGAAACACCCGAAGACUAUGAAUUCGAGGACGUAAUGACAUCUGUUUUCACGAACCGAUUUUAUCAGAACCAACUUAACCCCUUUUUGAUAUUUUUAUAUUUUUCUACAUUUCCGUCGUUAAAAAAAAAAAAAAAAAAACGGGUCUUUGAGUUGACAUGUUCAUGGGAAUUAUAUGACAAGAAGGAUAUCAAGGGUAAUUAGUUAAUUCUGCUGACAAAAUUGCAAAAAUGGUCCUUGUGGUUGGCAAAAUUCUGUAGUUUUGGUCCAAAAUGAAAUGUUGGUGUACCACUGGUCUAAUUUUAGAUACCUUGUGCGGUUUUGGUCCCUAUGGUUAUAUUUUCUUGUGUUUUUGGUCCACAUCCCACCUAAAAUGACUAAUAUGCCCUUUUAGUAAUUCUUUUUCAAUAUCUUUUGUUAUUCUUUUAAGACGUUUUAAUUAAAAAAAUCAAAAAAAAAAAAAGUUCUACCCACCCAUCAUCCCACUCUUUAGUGUAUCUCUCCCAAAACGAAGAUCCCACCCAUCGCCGACACCACCGGAAACACGCUUGAGCAUUAGUCGUCGCCGCCACUUCAUCACCCACCAUCAUCGGUUAACACCAUCACAAGAAAAAUUGGAGCACAUCUAUUUCAAUUCGUCUCUUCCAUCUGGAAUCAAAGAGAUCCAACAGCAAUGGCCAUGGCUGGUGAUUUUCUCCAAGAACACAAGGCACACACAAUUUCAGAUUCUAUUUAUGGGAUGAUUUUAGCUCCGAUUUGAUUCAGCACCAUCGUAUCCUUUUUUGAGUCCAUUAACCCUAAACACAUAAAUGAUAUGAGUGCACAUAUAUGAAAAUCAAUUUGUAGAAAUAGACUGUUCUUGAAAGCCCAUAAGCUUUUUUCAGAGGGUUGUCGCAGUGGUGAUGGUGUUUCUGGAUAGAACAGGUGAUGGUGUUCUUACCUUUCAUCUUCUCCGGCUUUGGCGGAUCUGAAAACCCUAGUUCUAACAAAAGAUUAAAGAUGAUGGUGCUCCAGAUUGCAAAAGAGCGAUGUCGAGGAUGGGAGAAGUGGCGACGUGUUCUUUUGUCGGUGACAAAGCAGAGGGAGGAGAGGUGUAUUUUUAUAGGUGGCCAACAACGGUGGGGAAAUGGAGGCGACGCCUGGUGGAGAGGACGACUUUUUAGGUGGUGGAGAACGAUGGCGAGGGUGAGAAAAGUGUUGGGGUGUUCGUUCGUCGGUGACUGUGCAGAUAGGGGGGGGGGGAGAGAGAGAGAGAGAGAGAGACACAUUUAUCAUAGGUGAUCAGCAACGGAGGGGGAGGUGGCAGUGUUUGGCGGUGACGGAGAUUAUUUCCGGUGGUGGAAGCUGAAAACAGGUUUCUUGAGAGAGAGAGAGAGAGGGAGAGAGAGAGAGAGAGAGAGAUGUAUUUUGAUUUUUAAUUACUUAAAAAAAAUACUAAAAUGAAUAAAAAAAUAAAAAAAAACAAA